rfam:Lupinus angustifolius cultivar Tanjil chromosome LG05, whole genome shotgun sequence.
UAUUUAGGGGAUUUGGUUGUUAUCUAGUGGGUCCGAGAUGAUUAACCCUAGGAUUUGUGGAGCCUAGCUGUGGUGGGCCUAGGUAUGAAAAUUGUUGUAAUGAAGCUAGAGAUGAAAUGUGUAGAGGUCAGAAAGAACAUCAACAACAAAGGCACUCUGCUUGUCCAACAUAUACAUUGUGAGACGAUAGCCAGGUAAGCGAAUGAGAUUAGAUACUCCAACAGCCCUAGGUGUAAACAUUGGAUACUAGCUGUUGUGUGUGUCAACCUUUGCAAUGUUGUAGCUAAUGCGUUAAGUAUCCUGCUUGGGGAGUAUGUUCGCUAGAAUGACACUAAAGGAAUCAGAGCUCUUUUUUC